rnacentral:tRNA from 1 species
GUAAAAUGGCUGAGUAAAGCAUUAGACUGUAAAUCUAAGCACAGAGGGAAUGCCUCUUUUUACCA